AGCUGAGGACCGAACCCAGGGCCUUGCGCUUGCUAGGCAAACGCUCUGCCACUGAGCUAAAUCCCUUUCUUUCUCUUUUUUCCUUUCUCUUUUUUCCUUUAAAAUGUACAGAAUGCACGCAUGGGUAUUUUGCAUGUAUGCCUGCACAGUGCCCACAGAGGCCAGAAGAAGGCAUCAGACAUCCUGGAGCUGGAGUUACAGAGCUUCGUGAGCUGCUAUGUGGGUGCUGGGAGUCGAACCCAGAUCCCCUGGAAGAGCAUCGAGUGCUCAUAGCCACUGAGCCAUCACUUCAGUCCCUUUGUGCAGGUUCUGUGAGGUUCUGUGUGGGACAGCCGCAUCCUAUCCAGAAGGCAGCAUCUCACAGUUCUCCUUCCACCCUCACAGUUCUUACAGAAGACUGGCCCUCUUGCGAGUUCCCUGAACCUUCUUGGUGGGGUGUGGUGGUUUAAAUACACUUGGCCCAGGGAGUGGCACUAUUAGGAGGUGUGGCCUUGUUGGAGUAGCUGUGGCAUGCAUGCUGCCUGGAAGCUGCCAUCCUCCCACCUUGAUGAUUAUGGACGGAACCUCCAUAAUGGUAUAUGUGAGCCAGCCCCAAUUAAAUGUUGUCCUUUAUAAGACUUGCCUUGGUCGUGGUGUCUCUUCACAGCAAUGGAAAGGGGAGCAGGUAUAUGCAGUAAAAGGAUCUUUCCUUUGGCCUGAUGUAAUUGUCGUCUCGGAGGCUCACUGCCUCUGUCUGCUAACCUAGACCUAGCCCUGGAAGCUUCUAACCUUCGUACAAUCUUAUCUGGGCCUAGAAUGUUUUCAGCCUCUGAGACUUGUGCUGAAUCAGCUCACCCACUGUAGAGCUCUGAUCUCUGGCUGGCUGGUCAGCUCAGCUGUUCUGGCUCAAACUCCUCUCCAUGCUGAUUCCAACUGUCUUCUUUCAGCUGCUGCCUGAAUUGCUCUGCCUGAAUUGCCUCACCCUAACUUUGGCAAUAUGUUCUAAGCUUCUGGCUCCUCCUCAUUCUCUCUCUCUGCAACCUGUCGCUGUACAGCUGUCCCAAUAAAACUGCCCUCUUGGGGUUGGGGAUUUAGCUCAGUGGUAGAGCGCUAGCCUAGGAAGCGCAAGGCCCUGGGUUCGGUCCCCAGCUCCGAAAAAAAGAACCAAAAACAAAACAAAAAAACAAAACCUGCCCUCUUUCCUCUGUGCUGGUCUCUCUUUUCUCCCUGUCCUCGUGAGAGUCGGGCAUAUCCUAUUUUGUCAAGUCUUUGAUUCGUCACUUUGAGUGCCUCUCAGUUAGACAUCACUUUUAAACAUGGGUGCUUCCUUCUACAAACUAACUUUACUUUCGUUGUUUGGGAUUAAAGGUGUGUACUAAGGCGAGCCACACCACAACUAGAAACAGGUUUUUCCAGUAAACAGCACAAUCUCAGGGAUCACAGUGUGACCAAAUAUCGUGCAACAGAUGGAAACGGCGGCGGCGGCGGCGGCGGUUGGCGAUUUAGCUCAGUGGUAGAGCACUUGCCUAGCAAGCGUAAGGUCCUGGAUUCAGUUCUCAGCUCCAGAAAACAAAACAAAACAAAACAAAACAAAACAAAACAAAACAAAACAACAACAACAACAACAACAACCACAACCAGACGUAAACGGAUCCCCUGGUCUACCUGGUCUACAGAGUGUGUUCUAGGACAGCCAUGGCUACACAGAGAAACCCUGUCUGGAAAAACCAAACCGACUGACCGACCGACCGACCAGCCAACCAAAUAAAUUCCUGGUUUCAAAAGCAACUUGGGGGGGCUGGAGAGAUGGCUCAGCGGUUAAGAGCACCGACUGCUCUUCCAGAGGUCCUGAGUUCAAUUCCCAGCAACCACAUGGUGGCUCACAACCAUCCGUAAUGGGAUCUAAUGUCCCCUUCUGGUGUGUCUGAAGACAGCUACAGUGUACUCAUAUACAAAAUAAAUAAAUAAAUCUUUAAAAAAAAAAAAAAAGCAACUUGGGGAGGAAAGGGUUUAUUUCAGAGCCUUCAGUUUCACCUCCCUGUCCAUCACUGAAGGAAGUCAGAGCAGGAAUCAAGGUAGAAACCUGAGGAGGCAGAAACUGAAGUGGAGGCAGUGGAGGCCGUGGAGGCCGCGGACGCGGUGGACGCCGUGGAGGGAGGCCGUGGGCCCGUGAAGGGACGCCGUGGCAGUCGUGGAGGGAUGCCGUGGAGGGACGCCGUUUACUGCUGUACUGGCUUCAUCGCUGCUCCUGGCUUGCUCAGCAGCCAGCCUCCUUUCCUAUAGCACCCAGGACCGCCAGCCCAGGGUGGCCCCGCCCACAAUGGGCUGAGCCUUCUCCCACCUGCCACUGAUUCAGAAAAUUGUCCGACAGGCUUUCCUACCUUAUAGAGGCAGUUUCUCCACUGAGGUUCCCUCCUCAGAUGAUACUAACUUGUGUCGAGUUGACAUAAAGCUAGCUCGCUUUAAUGCCAACAGCACUCAGGUGGUACAGGAGUUCAAGGAUGGCCUGGUGUGCUGGCUAGAUUGAUGUUACCUUGAGCCAAGCUAGAGUCACUGGAGAGGAGGGAACUUCAGUUGGUACAAUGCCUCCGUAAGAUCUGGCUGUAAGGCAUUUUCCUAUUGAGCGCUUGAUGGGAGUGGGUGGGGCCACUCCUGGACUGGCAGUCCUGGGUUCUAUAAGGAAGUAGGUUGAGCGAGGCAAGAAUGAGGAGCAAGCCAGUACCCAGCAGUCCUUCAGUGCGGAAGCAGAAGCUGAGUAAGCCCUCUCCUCCCGGAGUUGCUUUGGUCAUGGUGUUUCGUCACAGUAAUAGAAACCUUGACUGAGACACCUGGUCUACGUAUUUAGGUCCCGGCCACCAAACCAAACCAAACCCGGCGGUGACUAGGAAAGGUUCUGCCAGGAAAGGUGCCCACGCGUAAUGUAUGCAGCUGGCUCUCCUUACGGCAAGGCCUGAGGAGUUGGGUCCUCACGUGGCAAGGACCUGUGGGGGAUAUUCUGGCAGAAUCUCCUGACCUUUCUGAGGGAAUGCUUGGUUCAUUUUUGCCUUGCGUUUGAAUUUUUGGCUUUGCUGUUGGCAGUUCUUACUUUCGCUUUGUCUGUGACAGACAUUUCGGCAGAAUCAGAAAAAGAAAGCUCAGGCAGUAUGCGAUAAUCAAAAAGUUGGAAAGGUCUUGCUGGAUCGCUGGCUCCAAGCCUCAAUAGGAACAUUCAAAGGUGAGUCAAGCAAGGGUGAGUAACUGACUCCGGUUACGAUUUGGUCAAGAAACCCUGGGCAUUAGAGGAAUUAGAUCCCCUCAUUAGGAUGUGGGGAGAUGCUAGCAGUGUGCCCAUUAUUGUUAAACGCAGGGAGUUCUUAAAAAGAGACUGUACGUGAGAAAAUGAAUGUAAAACCUUUUCAGCUGUUGGGGGUGGGGGGGAAGGAUGUGUAAAUAAAGGUGAGAAACUAACUGAGUUAGUCCUCUCAGUGCCAGAGUGUGUGAACUGUACUCCUUGGUCCAAGUCUUCUUUUGCUGAUUGCGUACACAUCCUCCUUCGGGUUCUGAACCCCGCCGGGGCUGGACAAACGAAAUCAACCAGCCAAACAAACAAACAAACAAACAAACAAACAAACAAACAAAAAUACCCCAAACCAAUCAAUCAAACCCACCCAGACCAAACAAGUAAGACAUGAAGGUACUGACUGGUGUUGUGACUCAGUCAUUAGGGGUUGGGGAUUUAACUCAGCGGUAGAGCACUUGCCUAGCGAGCGCAAGGCCCUGGGUUCGGUCCCCAGCUCCGGGGGGGGGGGGGGGGGGGGGAAGCACUGGGCUGCUCUUUGCCAAGGACCUGGGUUUGAUUCCCAACACCUACACGGUGGCUGUACCGGUGUGUAUCUCAAAUUCCUGGGAAUCCAUGAACCUAUUCUCUUCCUGGCCCCUGUGGGCCUCUACAAAUGCGGUACACAGGCACACACUGACGCGUUGUUUCCCUUUGUGCCCUGGCGAUCCUGAUUCCCAGUACGGUCUAGAUAGGUUUCUGUUGGAAACAGCACAAGGAAAAGCAACUUGGGGAGUAAAGGUUUACCUGGCUUACAACUUCCCGGGACAUCAUAGUCCUUCCCAGUGAAGGAAUUCAGAACGAAAACCCAAACCGGGCGCCGUGGAGGGAGGGGUGCAGCUGGGUGUUGGGAGACUUGGUCAGCCUGUUCAUUGCCCUACAAACAGCGGGAAGUCGGUGGAGCAUUCUGUCACAAAGUUUCUCUCGGGCGAAGCCAAGGUCGUAGAACGCAACGUGAGCUACUACCAGAAGCCUACCACUCCUACACCUGUGGAGGAGGGGUAAGGAAGAAGCCUUAUCUUGAACAGAAAGAAGCCAGGGGAGAGCGCGAACGCAGUCCCCCACUACCACAAAUUAUGCAGUCGAGUUUCCCGCAUUUGGGGAAAUCGCAGGGGUCAGCACAUCCGGAGUGCAAUGGAUAAGCCUCGCCCUGGGAAAACCACCUUCGUGAUCAUGGUAUCUCCCCUGCCAGGUAAGUAUGAGUUGCUCGCCCAGCCAGCACGCCCUCCACCCACACGCACUCCUAUUAAACGCACGGUUCCCGCUCCGCGCCACGGCCGCGUCCUCACGCCACCCAUCCCUGUGCCGCGAUGCUUCCGCCUCACGGAAAUCACACGCCUGCCUGUCACGCGGGACACUCCACCCGUGAUAUGGCCGUUUGGGUUCCCGGGGACCGGCAGCCACUGCGCGCCGCUAAUCUGCAUACGCCACGCCCACAAGCCUCUCCUCUCUGGCUCUCGCGUUCACUGUCUCGGUUUUUAUUGCUUUUUGGUUUUGGGGUUUUUUUUUUGCCGGGCAAGAGACCCAGACCCGGACAGGGUGACCUCGAGCGAGCGCACUGCGAAGCCUGGAACCUGAGAUGACUCCAAAGUUUCGAUUGCACUAUGCAGCCGGUAACCUAAGACGACCCUAAACUUCUGAUCCAAAGUGUAUGCCAACGUCCAUUCUAGGGAUCACACACUCGGGGAUUCGUGCAUGCCAAGGUUUCUUCCUGCACCCACUUGAUUUACUUGCUAUCAGAGUGAAAAACAAAAACAUGGGACCAGUGCUUCAAACCUGAAACGAGCAUGUCAAGAGAACUGGGGUGUGAUUCUCUACAAAAGACUUGAAAUUUCAACAUCCCAGGUUAAUUGAGAUUGGUACUGAACUCAAACUUUUGAAAGUAUCCUGGAGCUGGAAAGACGGCUCAGAUGGAGCAGUGGUUGCUCUUCCCGGGAAUCUGGGCUCAAUUCACAAUCCUAUAUGCAGGCAAAACCGUCCGUGCAUACGGAACGACUUUCUCUCCCUCCCUUCCUUCCUUCCUUCCUUCCUUCCUUCCUUCCUUCCUUCUUUCCUUCUUUCUUUCCCCCCCCCCCCCCAUUUCCUUAUUUUCUUUCUUUCAUCCCAGUACUUGGGAGGCAGAGCCAGGCACAUCUCUGAGUUCCGGAACAGCCUGGUCUCGAGAGAGAGUUCCAGGAUGGCCAAGGCUAUGUAGGGAAGCCCUGUCUCCAACAACAACAACAACAACAACAACAACAACAACAACAACAACAACAACACUUGAGAGAUUUGUUAAGUGUUUUGCCUGUGUGUGUAUAUAUCCGUGUAUCACAUGUGCACAGUGCCCAGAAGAGGGCGUCAGAUACCUUAGAACUGGAGUUACUGUUGCGAGUCGCCAUGUGGGUAAUGGGAAUUGAAACCGGGCCCUCUGGAAGAGCAGCCCAAUACCAUUAACUGCUGAGCUAUCUCUCUAGCCCCAUAGAUAUUUGUGUGCGUGUGCGUGUGCGUGUGCGUGUGUCUGCCAGGCGAGGAUACUAAGAACCUAGAAGAGGGCCCUCACGAAAAUGACCGCGCUGGCAUCCGAAUAUAUCGACUUCCAGCACCUAGAACUGUUCUGAUUCUGCAAAACGGACGUUCUUAGAAACUUGAACCAAAGAGGUCACUGACCUAGAAGCAGCCCCAGAACCCGGCCUUAAAGCUAACAAAAGGUGCCGCUUCAAAGGACUGGAGUUUGAGUGUGUGGUGGACAGGACAGGUUCAGCUGUGCUCAACCAGCCCCCAGGGUUGGCCUGCUCUCUCUAUUCACUACGUCUUUGGAGGAGCGACCUCUGCCAACCGGACCAACCCAGAAAAGAGGGGUACGUAUUCCCCUUUCUUGGGGAACGUUUCAACCAGCUUUUGGGAGGGAAUUCGAGACAGGGUGUCUUGUCACUCAGCAACCCAGGCUGGCCUAGAACUGGUAGUGAGUGACCUCACCAGGCUGACAACAGUAUGCAGUAUGAGAUCAAGGUGUCGCCCCGCUCCCCGCACAUGCACCUCAUUCCAAGUGUUCUACCAACGGGAACCACCCCCUACCCUCGUCGUGGUUUAGAUAUUUGUUUGUGUAUGACACGUGUGUGCAGAGCCCUGAGGAAUGGUGGCAGUCAUCUGACCUGGGGACCUCAGAAAGAGCAGAGGUGCAGGAUUAGAAAGUUGAUCAGAAAGGCAUUGCACAGAUGAACCCUACGUACACUAUCUAUCAGCCGAGGAUGAAACGGAAAAGCCCUCAUCCCUGCUGGCCCGCCUGCUGGUCCUCCGGUGAAGUCGGCCAAAGAGUCCUCUCUAUCUCCCCUCUCUCUCUGUGGCUGCCCUACCCGACUGCAGGGGCCCACUGUGCACAGUGGGUGGGCAAUGCCGGUGCUGGUGCUUUGGAGCAAGGAGCUGUUGGCAGGCGAGGUUCUUGACUCUAGCAGAAAGUGGUUCUAGAAGCCCAGGAGACGAAAACCGAAAGGGAAACCGAAAGGGAAGCCUGCAGGCUGGAGACCCAGGGGUUCCGACUCCUGAGAGAGAACAGAUGGCCAGUUGAAAACGCGGCCUAGGGAAGAGGAGUGCCAAAACCGAUUGAUGAGAGAGGCGUGCAGACCAACAGAGUCUCCGGCCUACUCCCGUAGUAUACGUAUCAUUCACCGCUGAAUGCGUAGUGAAAGCCCUCCCACCAAAACUCCUAACAGGGGCCACCGAACUGGUCUUGACUUUAGAAACCACAAUGAAAUCAGGGGAGAGCGCGAACGCAGUCCCCCACUACCACAAAUUAUGCAGUCGAGUUUCCCGCAUUUGGGGAAAUCGCAGGGGUCAGCACAUCCGGAGUGCAAUGGAUAAGCCUCGCCCUGGGAAAACCACCUUCGUGAUCAUGGUAUCUCCCCUGCCAGGUAAGUAUGAGUUGCUCGCCCAGCCAGCACGCCCUCCACCCACACGCACUCCUAUUAAACGCACGGUUCCCGCCUCCGCGCCACGGCCUCGGUCUCACGCCCCCCCACUCCUCUGCCGAGAUGCUUCCGCCUCACGGAAAUCACACGCCUGUCACGCGGUACACUCCACCCGAGACACGGCCCUUAAGGCUCUGCCGGACCGGCAGCCACUGCGCACGGCUUCAUCUGCGUACGCCCCGCCCACAGGCGGGUUUUUUUUUUUUCCUUUUUCUUUUUUUUUUCUUUCCCCCCCCUUUUUUCUUCCCCUGGCCUGCAGGAGACCGCGACGGUCACACAGUGGCCUGGAGCACACUAUGUAUGUAUGUAUGUAUGUAUGUAUGUAUGUAUGUAUGUAUGUAUGUAUGUAUGUGACGAACUAAGGUCUCUUUAUGGCCUGGGAUGACCCUCGGGGCUUUGCGCAUGCCACGGCAAGUAAGUCUUCCUACCCUGUGGAGCUACACUCUCAGCCCUAUGAGCUACACCGUUAACUCGCUACCAGUUCUCAAGCAGAAAACAUUGCCACACCGACUGUGGAAGCCCACACCUGUCUCCUAACGCUUGCGAACCAGACGCAAGAGAACGGUCUGGACCUACGCGUCCUGUUGCCUAACUUAUUUUUAUGGUGGCGGGGUGGAGUGGGGGCAGAUUCUUCUCAGGUCAUUAGGCGUGGCUGUAUCUGUAAGCGCCUUUUACCUGCAGAGCCCUCUUGUGCUCUCCCUAGCCAUACCCUUUAACUGACCCCAAACCAUUGGUAUACAUUGAAGGGGUGAUUUAGUUUUUCCUUUUCCUUUUCCUUUUCCUUUUCCUUUCUCUCCCUCCUUCCCUCCCUUCCUACUUCUCUCCUCUCUCCCUUCCUUUUAAUGUUCAGUCCCAGACUACUGUUUUAGUUAGGGUUCUUCUACUAUUUCUUCCACAAAACACCAUGACCAAAAAGCAACUUGGGCAAGAGAGGGUUUAUUUGGCUUACACUUUCAGACCAUAGUCCAUCAUUGGAGGGAGUCGGGACAGGAACUCAAGCAGGGCUUGAGAUAGGAGCUGACGCAGAGCCCAUGAAGGAGUACUGCUUACUGGCUUGAUUUCUUACGGAACCCAGGACCACCAGCCCAGGGAUGGCUCGCUGAUUGAUCACUAAUUGAGAAAAUGCCUUACAGCCGGAUCUCAUGGAGGCAUUUCCUCAACUGAGCUGAAACAGCUUCGGCCACGCACAUGAUACAGCUCUGACCAGUUAAGACACCAGUCAGUCCCGGGGGAGAGCAUCUGCCAGGAAACGAACAUCAAAGCCGCUGUUCCAAGUUUUCUGCCUCCCAACUGCUCUACUUGGAAAUCGGGCUGAGGCCUUGGAGAAGCAGGUGUUCGCCUCCGGGUCUCCGGGGCCUGGCCUUAAGCGCGCAGCGGCAGUCCUCGCGUCUGCUCUCUGUUUAGCCACGCGGCCUACCUAAGGCCAACAGGACCCGGGGGUCGUGUCCCAGCACCCACACUGAAGCUCCGGUGCCUGGGGAGCCUAUGUUCUCUUCUGCCCCACCUUCCCGGCUUUCUGGUCUUCUCCAGCCUGGCACACGUGGGGCACACAGACACAUGGGCAGGAGAAGGCACUCCUACAUGGUAAAUAAAAAUAAGCAAAAAUCCCAUAAAA